CCUACGGGCGGCAGCAGUGAGGAAUAUUGGUCAAUGGACGAGAGUCUGAACCAGCCAAGUAGCGUGAAGGAUGACUGCCCUAUGGGUUGUAAACUUCUUUUAUAUGGGAAUAAAAUGUUCCACGUGUGGGAUUUUGUAUGUACCAUAUGAAUAAGGAUCGGCUAACUCCGUGCCAGCAGCCGCGGUAAUACGGAGGAUCCGAGCGUUAUCCGGAUUUAUUGGGUUUAAAGGGAGCGUAGGUGGAUUGUUAAGUCAGUUGUGAAAGUUUGCGGCUCAACCGUAAAAUUGCAGUUGAAACUGGCAGUCGUGAGUACAGUAGAGGUGGGCGGAAUUCGUGGUGUAGCGGUGAAAUGCUUAGAUAUCACGAAGAACUCCGAUUGCGAAGGCAGCUCACUGGACUGCAACUGACACUGAGGCUCGAAAGUGUGGGUAUCAAACAGGAUUAGAGACCCCUGUAGUC
rnacentral:rRNA from 1 species